AGUCGACGAACAAUUGAAGGAAGUUUUCGGAUGGAAUUCGAUUGACUGAGUGGCGGACGGGUGAGUAACGCGUGGAUAACCUGCCUCACACUGGGGGAUAACAGUUAGAAAUGACUGCUAAUACCGCAUAAGCGCACAGUACCGCAUGGUACAGUGUGAAAAACUCCGGUGGUGUGAGAUGGAUCCGCGUCUGAUUAGCCGGUUGGCGGGGUAACGGCCCACCAAAGCGACGAUCAGUAGCCGACCUGAGAGGGUGACCGGCCACAUUGGGACUGAGACACGGCCCAAACUCCUACGGGAGGCAGCAGUGGGGAAUAUUGCACAAUGGGCGAAAGCCUGAUGCAGCGACGCCGCGUGAGUGAAGAAGUAUUUCGGUAUGUAAAGCUCUAUCAGCAGGGAAGAAAAUGACGGUACCUGACUAAGAAGCCCCGGCUAACUACGUGCCAGCAGCCGCGGUAAUACGUAGGGGGCAAGCGUUAUCCGGAUUUACUGGGUGUAAAGGGAGCGUAGACGGCGAAGCAAGUCUGAAGUGAAAACCCAGGGCUCAACCCUGGGACUGCUUUGGAAACUGUUUUGCUAGAGUGUCGGAGAGGUAAGUGGAAUUCCUAGUGUAGCGGUGAAAUGCGUAGAUAUUAGGAGGAACACCAGUGGCGAAGGCGGCUUACUGGACGAUAACUGACGUUGAGGCUCGAAAGCGUG
rnacentral:rRNA from 1 species